AGCGCCCCGCCCUGCCCGCCCCCGCUCACGCUCACCGUCCGCCCCGGCGCGUACGCCCCCGGCGCUGCUGCGGCGGCGGGCUUGGGAGGGGGUCGAGGGAGCGGGAGCUUGGGGUGGGCUUCGGGAGCACAGGGAACGGCGGCAGCCGGGAGGUCGCAGCGUGAGAAGGCCGCCGGCUCCCGAGAAAUCCCCCUCCUCCAGGAGAGAGUUCAAUUUUAAGGUUGGAAGGAACCCUAUAGAUCAUUUAGUUCAUCUCCCUCGUUUUACACAUGAGGAAAAUGAGGCACGGAAAGUGUGGUUUUGUCCUGUUGGAUCAAUUAUCUAACCUGGGCCGGGACUCCGUCUACCACUGUGUUGCCUGGUUCACUGCAGCUCACUUCAUCUUCCUGUGCCUUCUCUGAAAGGCCUCCUCCAAAAGUUUCCUGGAUUGGACUAGUCUUGCCUUCACAAUCAAAACAUUUCUCUUAAGGAAAUCCUUCCCUCUACAUGGCAGUGGUGCUAAGACUCAACUUUAGCCAGUCAGAAUGGACACUGGCUGCAAACAACCAAGACUAUGAAGCAGAACUCGGACCUCUAGCGUCUGCUAGUCUAGAUCUAAAGGUGUUUCCUGAGGGACAGUUUGGCCUGGCAUGCAGGUACCUCUGCAGACCACAACAGCGCGCAGAAAACACUCCCUCCCAGCACGCACACGAGGCUGGCUCCUCAGCCAGACAGCAAACACCAACACUGCUGCCCAUGCCAGAUGCCAAGUGAGAUAAUGUGUGUGAUACCCUUAGUGUGUUACAAAGAGAAAAGAUUAAUAAACGUUAGCUAUCCUUAUCUUCAUUAUCUAA